UACGGAGGGAGCUAGCGUUGUUCGGAAUUACUGGGCGUAAAGCGCGCGUAGGCGGCUUUGCAAGCCGGAUGUGAAAUCCCCGGGCUCAACCCGGGAACUGCGUCCGAUACUGGAAGGCUUGAAUCCGGGAGAGGGAUGCGGAAUUCCAGGUGUAGCGGUGAAAUGCGUAGAUAUCUGGAGGAACACCGGUGGCGAAGGCGGCAUCCUGGACCGGCAUUGACGCUGAGGCGCGAAAGCCAGGGGAGCAAACGGG
rnacentral:rRNA from 1 species